rnacentral:rRNA from 1 species
GUAACGACAAGCUGGGUGGGAAGCCCAGCCGCCGAAAGCACAAGGUUUCCUGGGGAAGGUCAAUCCGCCCAGGGUCAGUCGGGACCUAAGGCGAGGCCCAAGGGCGUAGCCGAUGGACAGCGGGUUAAUAUCCCCGCACCCGGCGUGGAGGUUGAACCGCGGAGGACGCCACUGUCAGAGGGGUCGGGGCGCUAGAUACCCCCGUGCCGCAAGGCCGACAGCAUUCGACCUGGAAGCCUCUCGAUCCGUGGCCACGAAAAGCCCCGCGGGGACGACACGUCGGCCCGUACCGCAAUCCGACACAGGUGUGCUAGGCGAGCAUCCGAAGGCGUUCGGGAGAACCCUCGUGAAGGAACCCGGC